AGCCUUCUGUAUCCGUGCUGAGAUUUUGUCAGAGAUCAACCCUUUGGGGUUGGCUGAUGCAACUUCCCAAAUAAGUGAAGCG
rnacentral:pre_miRNA from 1 species